AGCCUUUUGAUUUCUAUAUAAGGUGAAACCUGCCCAAUGACUUACGAGUUUAAUGGCCGCGGUACCCUGACCGUGCUAAGGUAGCAUAUAAUAUGCCCUUUAAUUGGGGGCUAGAAUGAAUGGAUAAACGAAAAUAAAUCUGUCUCUAUAAUAUAUCUAAAAAUUUACCUUUAAGUGAAAAGGCUUAAAUUAAAUUAAAAGACAAAAAGACCCCAUAGAGCUUGAUUAUUUAAAUUAUAAAGAAAAAAUAAAUUAUAUUUUAUUUUAUUAAUAUUUUAAUUUAACUGGGGCGGUUAAGGAGCAAUUAUAAACCUCCUUUUUUCUUUUUGGCCUCUAGCCUAUAUAUGAUCCAUAAUAGAUUAAAGAAAAAAGCUACCUUGGGGAUAACAGGCUAAUAUCUUUUAAGAGUACAUAUCGAAAAAGAAGUUUGGCACCUCGAUGUUGGCUUAGGGGAACCUUGAAGUAGCAGCAGCCUCUAUAGGCGGGUUUGUUCAACCCUUAAACCCCU
rnacentral:rRNA from 1 species